GACGAACGCUGGCGGCGUGCUUAACACAUGCAAGUCGAACGGUGACGAGGAGCUUGCUCCUCCGAUCAGUGGCGAACGGGUGAGUAACACGUGAGCAACCUGCCCCAGACUCUGGGAUAACAGUUGGAAACAGCUGCUAAUACCGGAUACGAGACGGAGAGGCAUCUCUACCGUCUGGAAAGUUUUUCGGUCUGGGAUGGACUCGCGGCCUAUCAGCUUGUUGGUGAGGUAAUGGCUCACCAAGGCGACGACGGGUAGCCGGCCUGAGAGGGCGACCGGCCACACUGGGACUGAGACACGGCCCAGACUCCUACGGGAGGCAGCAGUGGGGAAUAUUGCACAAUGGGCGAAAGCCUGAUGCAGCGACGCCGCGUGAGGGAUGACGGCCUUCGGGUUGUAAACCGUCUUUCUAGCAGGGAAGAAGCGAAAGUGACGGUACCUGCAGAAGAAGCACCGGCUAACUACGUGCCAGCAGCCGCGGUAAUAGUACUA
rnacentral:rRNA from 1 species